rnacentral:rRNA from 1 species
AUGUGUGACAACCGCUGCAACAUUGUUUCAUGGAAUGUUUGGGGUCUAAACAUGCCGACGAAGCGCUCCGCCGUCCACGAGGCCAUUGCCAUUUGGAAACCGGUGAUCGACUGCCUGCAGGAGACCAAGAUUAGCGUCUGGGACGACUCCAGGACUAGAGAUAUUGGUGGCUCCUUGUUAGAUAAGGCCUUCCAUUUGCCUGCCUCAGGCACUAGGGGUGGGAUAAGUCUGUUCUGGGACAGCAGCCUCGGCCACGCGUCCGGCUUUGCAUCGCAGCAGUUCUCUCUAAGUGCAGAUAUUAGACUGCUAGAAACUAACACCCAAUUCUGCUUGACUUCGGUCUACGGACUGGUCGAUGACACCUCCAAGUAUAGCUUCAUGUCUGAGAUGUGCGGCCCUGCACCGAACCUUGGCCACCCCUGGAUUGUGCUGGGCGACUUCAACCUAAUCUAUGAGGCCAGGGACAAAAGCAACUCAAACCUCAACCAUAGGCUCAUGGGAAAAUUUCGCAACGCCAUCAACUAUGGAGAGCUGCUAGAGAUCAAAUGCAAGAACCGGAAAUUCACCUGGAGUAAUGAGCAGCUGCAUCCCACCCUUGUCGCUCUUGACAGGGUCUUCUGCAACCCUACCUGGGAUGCCCUGUUUCCUUCGAUCAUCCUGCAUGCAGCCUCCACCGCCGUCUCGGAUCACUGCCCACUAGUGCUCUCGAGUUCCAAACCCCUGCCCAGCAAGCCCAAAUUCAAAAUUCGAAGCAUUCCGGCCAUGGUUCCCUGGAUUCCAAGACGGUCCUCGCGGCCUGGAACCGGCCUAUUUCCUCAACCUGCGCCAUCAGGGUGUUGCAAACCAAGCUGGCACACACGGCAAAGUCCCUCAAAACAUGGAGCAGAGGCUUGUUCUCUAAUGCAAAAAUGCAGUUCCUUAUGGCCCAGGAGCUAUAAGCCCCUAUCUUUCUCCAUGUCCGGUUGA